rnacentral:ribozyme from 1 species
GAAACAACGAAAGAAAGAAAAUUGUCCCUUGUUGCUUUGCUUUUUUUCUAUUCUUUUACUUGCAUUCUUCAUAUCAAUGAUUGCUUUUUACAGAAAAGUACGGAAGGCCACUGGUAUGUCAGAAAUUAUAGAAAAAGAUGGGAAAUUGCAUAAUCUCGAUCA